rnacentral:lncRNA from 1 species
ACGAAUCGCUAGAACUGCAAUAAUAAAGAAGAUAAAUUGAGAAUCUGCAUGCCUCUCAAAUACAUAGGGAUAGUUUGUAUUUUCAAGCAUAACAUAAAGCACAUCCUAAACAUCGACAUGAGCAACUUGCAACAAUGCCCAACUUAGUAGCCAAUCUCUGUCACUCCAGCCUUACGAGAAGACUUAUAUUGUUAUUUAUAUAUCCUACUAAAUCAAAUAAACACCAACCAACUAUGAGAAUAUAUAUGUACAAGUGAAUAUAUGAAAUUAAUAAAAUCACUCGAAUAUGACCGAUUGCGGCAUUUUGGUGGUAUUUUCAUCAUACACCAGGAUGUACACUUGCUCGAUUCACACCAGAUUUCUCACUAUGGGAGAAUUUAACAGAUAGUAAUCCAUAUUUGCAUUUACCCCCUUUAAAAGGGCUAUCGAGUUCAAAUUUUUUCUUCUCUCUUAUUGAUCAUUUUUUUUCCAGUCUCAUAUAUUAGACAUGUGGUAUAAGAGCAUCCUUUUUAUCAGCAUCACUCUAUAUAAUUCAUGUUGCCUAGUCGUUUUACCGGUAGUAUUUUUCAAACAUUUGAUCCUUUUUAUACUUACUCGAGAACAAUGAAGUCCAUUUUUAUUCGUUGAAAAAUAAGGCUUCAAAAAUACUAAAUUAAAAUUAAAUCUAGAUAUAGAGUAAUAUAAGUUGUGUGUUAUUGACAUACAUUACAAACCAAAAAUAACUCUAAUAAACAGAUAAUAUAUAUAAAUAAAUAAUCUACUAAGAAGUUAAGGAAAAAAACCAAUAGAAGUGCAGUGCUUACAGGAUGAUGCAGAGGAGACGGCUACCACGACCCAGAGUAAAAACUGAAACAAAGAACAUGAAAUAAAGAUAAAUUAACAACAACAUCAGUAAUAAAAAAAAGUUGGAGAAAGGCCCAAAAUAACAUAAAUGGAUAAAACAAAGAAAGCAACAAAGAGAGAAGAAAAAAUCAUCCGCCAAAUCACACGUACCUAAAACACAAAGAGGAAAAUUGCAAAAACCAACACAUAUCUUCGAAAUCCCAUCACCAAGAAACUUAGUAAAACUUACAGGUAAAACAAACCCCAGAAUCAAAGAGAAAAGGGAGAUAUGUAAAAAGAAAAAGAAGCUAAUUUUCAGAGAGAUGGUGAAACUAAGUAGAAAUUAGAAACAUUAGCAAUGAUCGAGCAAAAUAGUUUUAGAUCAAAAUCAAAUUUUAACUUCUAAAAGGGAUUAUUACCUGGGUUCUAUUUGCUUUCUCGGUGGGGAAAAAAACAGACUUUUACCAAUUAUCAAAACCCCAAAUAUUCCCCCAAUUUUAUCCAUGAAAGCCCUAACUUUGAAAUUUCCCUAUGUUGUCUGAGUUGAAACAAAUUGGAACAAAAAAAGGAGAAACAACACAUAGAAAAUAACAAAAUUGAUAUUAAAGACUAAGAAAUUUACCUGAAAGUUCAAGAGAUUUGAGAAGAAAACUGGACAACUCACAGGCCAACAAAUGCCAAAACCAAAAAGAAUUGAAUCAGACUCAAAUCUGAACUUCAGAAAGAAACUCUUACCUGAUUUACCUGAUUUCGAUCUUGUGAUGGAUCGUUUCUCUAUGCCUUUUCUUGUGUGUGCUUAGCCAAGGAAUAUGUUUAUGUUGAAAAAGAAGAACAACAUACAUAUGGAGUAGCAGUAAAACCUACACGUAUAUCUGGGAAGAGCACCAAAGGGCACGUAUAUAGCUGUGAGAAAUGACUGAAAUAGCCUCAAGCUUGUUUCUAA